rnacentral:misc_RNA from 1 species
AAAAAAAAAAAAAAAAAAAGGCAAUCUAUUUUGUCACUUAAUCUAUUUUGUCACUUAUACGAAUAAAGUAUUAUGAUUAUUAAAAACUCAACGGGACCCCCUCGAAUCAGACAGAGAAAAGAGGGGGUCCAUUGAGUUCUUACGUUUUUAUGUCUACAACUCAGUUCACCCGAUUACUUACAGGGAUGAACCCAAUCCGGAAUAUGAACCAUAAAAGAAAAUGCCUAUUAAACCGAUCACAAGAAUACCAGUUACAGUACCUACUAUCCAAAGAGGAAUUCUUCCAGUAGUAUCGGCCAUUUAUCCCACUUCCCUCCACAUUUAAUCAAGUGGUCAUGCUAGAGACAUAAACAGUCAUAGAUAAUUAUGAGAUGAUAUCCUUCCGAUGGGAUAAGAGAAUUCCUAUUCUUAUUUAUUUUAUUAUUCUACUAUUUUCUUUUCUUCUAUUAAUUGAAGAAAUAAUUAGAAAAUAAAACAGCAAGUACAAAAAUGAGUAAUAACCCCCAGUAGAGACUGGUACGAUUCAAUUCAACAUUUUGUUCGUUCGGAUUUGAUUGUGUCAUAGUUCUAUAAUUAAUUGGGAUUAGAUUUAUCGUUGGAUGAACUGCAUUGCUGAUAUUGACCCCAAAAAAAAAACGGUAGGUACAGCUAGUCCGUGAACAGCCAACCAUCGUACUGUAAAAAUUGGAUAGGUUCGAUCUAUGGUCAUUGGGCCUCCUAAAAAGAUUUACUAAAUUCAUCGAGUUGUUCCAAAGAAUCAAAACGGCCAGUUAUUAAUGGAAUUCCUUGUCGGCUUUCGGUAAAAUAUUCAUUUGGACGAGGGCUUCCAAAUACAUCGUAAGCUAAACCCGUGCUGACGAAUAACCAACCUGCAAUGAAUAGGGAAGGUAUAGUAAUGCUAUGAAUGACCCAAUAUCGAAUACUGGUAAUAAUAUCAGCAAAAGAACGUUCUCCUGUGCUUCCAGACAUACUGAGCUCCACAUAUUCUUGUACAAUCAAAAGGGAUCGAUUCUGUAAAAGAUGAGAUCAGUAAAUGAAAUUUCACCGAAAUUUCAUCUUUGUGAGAUCGUCAAUAUUGUACCAAGGGUUUAUUUAAAGUAUACCGAAUCAGUAUAGCUAUCCUUCUUCUAACACAGCAACGCAACUUCAAUCAGUAUUGAAAUGAAGUCCUAGAUAAUCUCUUUCUUCUUUUAUUUUUCUUGUUGCUGUAGAACUGUAUAAGAUCAGGUAAAAUGCGAAUUCGGUGGGUUGCAAUAAUAAUUUAUGAAGGAGAUUAUCAUAUUUCCGCAAUUCAAUUAGAUGUGAAAUCUAAAACUUUUGUGGUUAUAGAAGAAGGGUUUUUUUUUGGAAUCCCCCUUUUUCAUUUUAAGGAAUUGGUUAGUCAUCCAUUAACAAGUACCAGUAGUAGAGAAUAUUCGAU